UACGAAGGGGGCGAGCGUUGUUCGGAUUUACUGGGCGUAAAGCGUGCGCAGGCGGUGAUGUAAGACAGUUGUGAAAUCCCCGGGCUCAACCUGGGAACUGCAUCUGUGACUGCAUCGCUGGAGUGCGGCAGAGGGGGAUGGAAUUCCGCGUGUAGCAGUGAAAUGCGUAGAUAUGCGGAGGAACACCGAUGGCGAAGGCAAUCCCCUGGGCCUGCACUGACGCUCAUGCACGAAAGCGUGGGGAGCAAACAGG
rnacentral:rRNA from 1 species